GAGACCGGCCGGAUGGCUGCUCUCCGUUCCGUGUGCCUCCCGGAGGGAACCCUUUCGGGACUGGCAACCUGGAAUGGGGGGAGGAAAGUCCGAACUCCGCAGGAUACGGCGCCUCCUAACGGGAGGGGGCCUCGGCAGCGUCCCUCCGGGGAAACGGGUCGGGGUCACGGAAAGUGCCACAGAAACAAGACGGCCCCAUCCGCGCUGGCGGGUGGAGCAAAGGUGAAACGGUGGUGUAAGAGACCACCAGUCCCCGGCGCGAGCCGGGGAGCUGGCAAACCCCGCCGGGAGCAAGACCGAGCAGCUCCGUUCCCCGUCCGUCAGUCCCGCCUUUGGCGGGGUCAGCUGACUGACAGAGGACCGGUGAUCCGCCGGUAUCCCGAAGUAUCGGGAUGCGGAGCGGGUAGGUCGCUAGAUCCCGGUUGUGAAACCGGGACCAGAUGAAUAGCCAUCAUCCCGAUACUUCGGGAUACAGAAUUCGGCUUACAGGCCGGGCUCCAAC
rnacentral:RNase_P_RNA from 1 species